AGCAGCCGCCACGGUAAUACGGAGGGUGCAAGCGUUAAUCGGAAUUACUGGGCGUAAAGCGCACGCAGGCGGUCUGACAAGUCAGAUGUGAAAUCCCCGGGCUUAACCUGGGAACUGCAUUUGAAACUGUCAGGCUGGAGUCUUGUAGAGGGGGGUAGAAUUCCAGGUGUAGCGGUGAAAUGCGUAGAGAUCUGGAGGAAUACCUGUGGCGAAGGCGGCCCCCUGGACAAAGACUGACGCUCAGGUGCGAAAGCGUGGGGAGCAAACAGGAUUAGAUACCCCAGUAGUCCCUGUCUCUUAUAC
rnacentral:rRNA from 1 species